UCGAGAAUCAUUCGCAAUGGGCGAAAGCCUGACGAUGCGACGCCGUGUGAGCGAUGAAGGCCUUAGGGUCGUAAAGCUCUUUCGCUUGGGAACAAGAGAUUCUGGCAAAUAACCAGGAGAUUUGAGGGUACCAGGUAAAGAAGCACCGGCUAACUCCGUGCCAGCAGCUGCGGUAAUACGGAGGGUGCAAGCAUUAAUCGGAUUUAUUGGGCGUAAAGGGCGCGUAGGCGGGGAUGUAAGUCAGAUGUGAAAUCCUGGGGCUCAACCCCAGAACAGCAUUUGAAACUGCAUUUCUAAGAGGGUAGGCGGAGAAAAUGGAAUUCCACAAGUAGCGGUGAAAUGCGUAGAUAUGUGGAAGAACACCAGUGGCGAAGGCGGUUUUCUAGCUUAUACCUGACGCUAAAGCGCGAAAGCAAGGGGAGCAAACAGGAUUAGAUACCCCUGUAGUCC
rnacentral:rRNA from 1 species